UUUAGAGUUUGAUCCAUGGCUCAGGACGAACGCUGGCGGCGUGCUUAACACAUGCAAGUCGAACGAUGAACACCGGAGCUUGCUCUGGUGGAAUUAGUGGCGAACGGGUGAGUAACACGUGAGCAAUCCGCCCUUGACUCUGGGAUAAGCGUUGGAAACGACGUCUAAUACCGGAUAUGACCUCUCUUGGCAUCAAGCGGAGGUGGAAAGAUUUAUCGGUCAAGGAUGAGCUCGCGGCCUAUCAGCUAGUUGGUGAGGUAAUGGCUCACCAAGGCGACGACGGGUAGCCGGCCUGAGAGGGUGACCGGCCACACUGGGACUGAGACACGGCCCAGACUCCUACGGGAGGCAGCAGUGGGGAAUAUUGCACAAUGGGCGCAAGCCUGAUGCAGCAACGCCGCGUGAGGGACGAAGGCCUUCGGGUUGUAAACGACUUUUAGCAGGGAAGAAGCGCAAG
rnacentral:rRNA from 1 species